GUAUUGCAGGUGUGAGAUUUCAAUGCUGAGGGAACACUUGAUAGCAUCAUCAUUAAUUUCACGGUUCCAGAUAGGUACAAAGUUUUCUCUUCAACAUUGCAAUCUCACACCUCCAUAAAUUCCAUCAUCAUCAUGUUUCAUCUUCAUCAAUCUAACUGGUGAAGUUUUCUCUCUCAGUAAUCAACGGAUCCUAUUACAGAUUCUAAGCUUUCUGAUCAUUUUUCUUUUGAUUAGUUUGAAUCUUUGUCUCCAUGUAAUAUGUUCUUUCAAUUGUAUAUUAGAUCCUUACCCAUUUUAUGGAUGCUUAUAAAAGAUGAACGAAACUGAUGUCCCUCCUACAAUUGGGAGCUCUGAACAGCAUGUAUCAAUUUGUCAAUAUAUGAGGAAAUCAGCUACAGGUGUUUACCCUAGCAAUGGAUCCGAUAUUUAGAAAUCUCUUUAUCGGCCAUGAGAUAUCAAUAUAGCGCCACGAAGUUGCCGCGCUUGAAUCGUCGAACGCGUUAGCAAACGAUGCUCCUUCACUUGAGCCACACAUGCUAUCUAGCUCAAUCCCGAAUGCAACUUGAAAUAUCGAAUCCAAUGUCGAUUUCAUAAACAAAUCCUAACAGGUUAGAAUUGGCAUUGUCAGAAAUUACUUGAGCGAUUUUUGCUGCAUUCUUUUGGAAGACAACACUGCUGAAGUCUCUCAAUACUCUAGUAGAGAACUCAUAGCUAGAUAUCUUCCUCUGAUGCUGCCACUUAUCACCAUCUACUGCGAAGAUUCCGUCCCCAAGAAGAUCUUUCAAAUUGUUGUAGUUGUACGAUCCCUGCAAUGAGUAUUUAUAAACUAAAAUAGUGAAUUUGAAAUUUCUGUUAGAUCUAUGUCAAACCAAGGUUGAACUGAACAUUGAAGUGUCAAUCAAGGUCAUGUUA